UUUUACAUAUAUCAAUGGGAGAAGACAAUGAGUCCUCAUGAAACAAGUUUGUGUGUUGCAUUCUGCUACUACAUACUACAUAGGGAAAAAUAAUGUUCUUGAGGGCUAGAGCAUAGGAAGAUUAUUUUUUAAGCAUUGAUCUGAAACAUUUCAUAUGGACCAAACAUAAAUCAGAUCUACAGAACACCACAGUUAAACAAGAGGCUAAAAAUAUAAGGCUGUACAGAAGUCUCUGUGGGCAUCCAGCAAGUACUCAAUAACAUUUCAUUAAAACUUAUACAUACAUACUAUGUAUGACUAGUGAGUUUUUCCCUGCAGAAGACCAGAUUAAAUAAUCUGUUAAUAACAAACACUACCAUUCCAGUUUAAUUUACAACCAUCUGCCACGCCUCUUUUCUUUUUUUUCCCUAUAGUUUAUACAAUUAAUCUUAGUGUAGUAAACAUGACUACGGUCAUGAUAACAGGAACUUGUUGAUGAGAUGUGAUAUCCUCUCUGGAUUAUUUAGAUGAAGAUGAUGAGUGCCAUCCACAUUGUAAUGAUCCACUGUGCUGCCAUUCUUCUUCAUCAUCUCUAGGGUCUUCAUAUACACUUCCUCAUAUAUACCACCAAUGAAACCUUGAUUACCUCUUAUGCUGAGGUUGCAGCAUUUUACAUUCUGAGCUAAGCCAAUAAGAGCAUCAAAUGAGAGACGGCCCCAAACAUGAGUCCUCAACCGUGGAUCACGUGAGAAGUAAUACCUGUGCUCAUCACCAUGAGGCACACGAAUUGCUCCCCUCUCAAGCAGUAUUUUACACGAGUCAAUUGUUGGAGAUUCUCGACUACCUUCAUAAAUCCGUUUCAGUAUUUCCUCAUAAGUGUAACUGGGGGGUUUACUUUCUUGCAUUUUUUCUUCGACAGAUAUGAUCCAGUCAGCAAACUGAUAAGAUUUAACAUCAACAUCUGGUAUCUCAGCCAUCAUUGUCCUGGCACAAUCAAGACUAACAUAUUUGUCUACUUCUUCAGGGGAAGAUUCACAUAUUUGAAGUUUCUGAGGACAAUGCUGACAUUUCAGGAGAUGAGAGAAGUCUAGAUAGCAGCCAUUGCUGUACAUACGUGUUUCAUGCAGCAAUGCAGCUGUGAAGUAUGAUGGAAACAAAAGAGGGUGUGUCAGCUGCAGGUUCUAUGCAGCCAGUGAGAGAGCAGUGAACAGAUGGCAGGUUUCAAAGCAAGAGACAAAGGAAUAUUGUCACAUCUUCACAUUAAUAGAGACAUGAAACAUGCUAUGUAGUCAGAAAAAAAGCAGCUGUAUUCUCAGGGUCCAUCGGAACCACAACCACAGAAACUGCAACAAAUUCGGAAGAAACAACCAAAUAUUUUUGACAACCUAGACUAUAAAUUUCAUUGCUGCUUUUACACAGAAAUACUUUGUCUCUUCUUUCACCGGCUUAGGUGAAACUAUCAUACCAGAUAAUGAUACCAGUGGUGAUGGUGAUAGUGGUGAUGGUGAUGAAAAAUAGUGGUACCGCAUGCAGACGGCUUAGACAGCAUGCAAAAAUGGAAGUGAAGUGGUGUCAGGAUUAAAUUUGGACAAUUCUUCUGGGUUUUCCAUUCUAAAGGAACUACUCAGUAUAGUGGCACCCACCGAGUCAAGAGGACCCGCAUCAGAGCAGCAGCAGCACUUGUGUGAUAAACUGUAAAUUAAUUUAGUCAUUGUUUUUUGUUCAUGUGCUUCUGCAAAAAAGUGAACUGUACAUGUGUAUUUUACUGUGAUUAGAAAACUAACUGUAGUGUUCGUUUUUGCGUGAGUCUUGUGAAUAUCAUCGUAUAGGGCAACUUCCUAGUGUAAAUUUUCUGUGUGUAGAGAAAUUUAUUUCUGUUUAAUAGCUUGCGCUCUGAGUUCAGUGAGAAAGCUGCACACAAACUUUUAGUGUUUCUUUAUUCUCCUUUGGUAUAUUUUCAAACUCAGUAACACCUUUUGAGACUUUAUAUCUAUUUUAUACACAGUAUUAUAUGGCUAGGGAUUCUGCUUAUGUGAGCGGACACAAGGAGAGUUGCCUGCUGUCCAUAAACAGCUGGAAGCUGCAUUGUCUACUGUCCACAUGCUUCUAGCUAAUACUCAAAGUUGCAGUGAUGUCGGGGAGCCAUGGGCGAGACCUGUGACACCUUUGGUGUCACUGGAAUCCCCUGGUGGCCUGGACAUCACUGUGACUUCCGAUAUGCAAUAUCUGACCGGUGCAUCCUCACUCCAGAGUGGGUGGCAGACAGUGGUCAGUCCGCAUGUCACUAGGCGGAAGGCGAAAGAGGGAGCAGGCCGUACGGAUGGAUCCUUAUGUCUUUGCAACAGGUAUGAGGUGCUUCCCAGUGUUGAUAACUUUGAGCCAGCACGGGAUGCUUCUCCUGUUGGGCCAGUGAUCGAUUUUCCUUCCCAGACCAGACAAGUACAGAGGGUGGGUAUGCUAGUCAUCGGAAGCUCCAAUGUUAGGCAAGUGAUGGAGCCCCUCAGGGAGAUAGCAGGCAAGGUGAAGAAG